rnacentral:lncRNA from 1 species
AAUCGCUGAUCAGUCUCAGGGCGGCAUUUACCUGGCAGCUUCUGGGGAAACCUAUGGGAGCCCCACAGCUGGUGCCCUCCCCCCCAUUUCUAGAGCAGUUCUAGCCGGCUAGACUUCGAGAGAAAGGAGGGCUCUCUGUAGCUGUCUGGACAUUUUAGAACCAGCAGAAGAUCUUUUUCUGUGGGUUGGCAAUGCCCAGAGAGGCUCAUAUCAGUUCUAGAAGGCAGCGCCUACCUGUUCAUCCCAGCCCAUAUCCAGAGUACUUUCUGGCUGGCUGCACCCAAGUCCAGGCAACUCCCCCUUCGAAUGUUGCCCCUGGUCUUCUUGAGAAGAGAGGUCCAGUCCCCAGGACUGAGGGAACUUGUGGGUGUCCUAGAGCAAGCACCCACCAACUCCCGUUCUGUGUUUCUGGAGUCAUUCUAGAAAGCCCCAGCUCGAGUACCUGUGGAGAAUCCUGCAGGGAUCUUCCAGAGGGGUGGGGUUCUGGAAUUCCAGGAGAAUCUCAGGAAGAAAGCUCCUGGCAUUGUGCCCCUUGCCAACCCUGGUCUGCCCCUGAUAUCACAGAACCACUAAAUCUGACUUCAGGUUUGAAACGAAUGGAGGGUGUGCAGACCCUCAGCAGUUCUCAGACCCAGGCUGUCCUCAGACCCAGGCAGAAGGGAAUGCAGGGUCUGGCCAAGGAGGAUGGGAUUCUGGACUCAGAUUCCAGGAACGCCUUGAGGCUUUUGGAAGGGGUUGAAGGUGGCCUGCUAGCUUUCUUACAGACAACUCUGAUCACAUCUGUCCACCCAGAAGAAUGCACACCCCUUUUUCAGUCUUCCUAA